GCUCUUGGGUGAGCAUUUGUGUGCUUCGACGGAGCGGCACCUUUUGUUCCAACCUGAGGGGGGCCGUGCCCCCCAGCCCUGAUGGAAUUUUUUACUAGGUAUUAGUAAUUAUCUAAGUAAUGGGGUAAUGGCCCAUCAAACCAUCGUGCACGCACGCACACUUCAGGCUCGGUGCUUCCUCUACCACGCUCGCCUCCAUCCACCAUCCACCAGUGAACCUGCCGCCAUGCCGCCGCAUUCGCUCAGUGCGACGGCGCCGAUGCCGACUCGAAGCUCGCUCUAAUCUGCGGGCGUCACCGGCGAACAUCCUAGCGCCGAGGUGGGAGGAACAAGAGCAUCGUCGUUGCCUGCUCCUUGCCAUUGGCCUCGGGGGUCCGGUGGUCAUCCACGUCGGCCGGCCUGCCGGCCACCCGUCGUCACCAGUCGCUCCUCCUCGGCUCCUCGUCUAUUUGUAUUUGUUCUGCUAAGUAGUUAUUAUAAGCUGUUCUCAAAAGGAGACUAGACUGAUCAAGUGGCCAUGGUUAAGGGCAGCAGCGACAACAUUGAGUCAUACUUCAAAAGACAAAGGACAGAAGCAGUAGCAGAAGAUCAAGCGCAACCUUUACACCUGCUUCUUGAAUUGGAACAGCAACAUGAAAAUCAAGAUGAAGAGCCUCAAACAAAUAAUUCAGUUCCUCUUCCUUUUGUAUUGAGAGAAAUUUCUCAUCAAAAGGUGGCUCUGGUGUAUUCACAAUGCAUGGUUUUGAUAAUUGGAAGAAGGUGAACGAUGGAAAAUGGGAGUCAUGCCAAUAAUUUGGGUUGUUCACAUAGAGCGUGAAAUCACAUAGAAGUACAGUUUUGAAGAUAAUUUAACGAAAUUCAAGAGCAUGAGGGUCGAAAAGCCGAUCUGUAGCAUCACUCCUUUUGUAGUUCUUCGUUGGCUUAGAGAAUGUCUUUGGAGUUUGAGGGUAGAGCGGUAUAACCAUG